GAUGAACGCUGGCGGCGUGCCUAAUACAUGCAAGUCGAGCGAACGGACGAGAAGCUUGCUUCUCUGAUGUUAGCGGCGGACGGGUGAGUAACACGUGGAUAACCUACCUAUAAGACUGGGAUAACUUCGGGAAACCGGAGCUAAUACCGGAUAAUAUUUUGAACCGCAUGGUUCAAAAGUGAAAGACGGUCUUGCUGUCACUUAUAGAUGGAUCCGCGCUGCAUUAGCUAGUUGGUAAGGUAACGGCUUACCAAGGCAACGAUGCAUAGCCGACCUGAGAGGGUGAUCGGCCACACUGGAGCUGAGACACGGUCCAGACUCCUACGGGAGGCAGCAGUAGGGAAUCUUCCGCAAUGGGCGAAAGCCUGACGGAGCAACGCCGCGUGAGUGAUGAAGGUCUUCGGAUCGUAAAACUCUGUUAUUAGGGAAGAACAUAUGUGUAAGUAACUGUGCACAUCGUGACGGUACCUAAUCAGAAAGCCACGGCUAACUACGUG
rnacentral:rRNA from 1 species